UUUCGAAUCAUUCACAAUGGGCGAAAGCCUGAUGGUGCGACGCCGCGUGAGGGAUGAAGGUCUUCGGAUUGUAAACCUCUGUCACCGGGGAAGAAACGCUUCAAGUUAAUAGUUUGAAGCCUGACUUAACCCGGAGAGGAAGCAGUGGCUAACUCUGUGCCAGCAGCCGCGGUAAUACAGAGACUGCAAGCGUUAUUCGGAUUCACUGGGCGUAAAGGGUGCGCAGGCGGCCAAGUGUGUGAGGCGUGAAAGCCCGAUGCUUAACAUCGGAAUUGCACCUCAAACUACAUGGCUAGAGCAUUGGAGAGGGUAGCGGAAUUCACGGUGUAGCAGUGAAAUGCGUAGAUAUCGUGAGGAACACCAGAGGCGAAGGCGGCUACCUGGACAAUUGCUGACGCUCAGGCACGAAAGCGUGGGGAGCAAAAGG
rnacentral:rRNA from 1 species